rnacentral:rRNA from 1 species
GCAAGUCGAGCGCGACCUUCGGGUUGAGCGGCGGACGGGUUAGUAACGCGUGGGAAUAUGCCCAAAGGUACGGAAUAGCCUCUGGAAACGGAGAGUAAUACCGUAUGUGCCCUUCGGGGGAAAGAUUUAUCGCCUUUGGAUUAGCCCGCGUUAGAUUAGGUAGUUGGUGGGGUAAUGGCCUACCAAGCCUACGAUCUAUAGCUGGUUUUAGAGGAUGAUCAGCAACACUGGGACUGAGACACGGCCCAGACUCCUACGGGAGGCAGCAGUGGGGAAUCUUGGACAAUGGGCGCAAGCCUGAUCCAGCCAUGCCGCGUGAGUGAUGAAGGCCUUAGGGUCGUAAAGCUCUUUCGCCAGGGAUGAUAAUGACAGUACCUGGUAAAGAAACCCCGGCUAACUCCGUGCCAGCAGCCGCGGUAAUACGGAGGGGGUUAGCGUUGUUCGGAAUUACUGGGCGUAAAGCGCGCGUANGCGGAUCGGAAAGUUGGGGGUGAAAUCCCGGGGCUCAACCCCGGAACUGCCUCCAAAACUAUCGGUCUA